GGUGACAAAGAUAGCUUCCUUUCUACAAGUGCCUAUGUGAUUUAUCUUGGCAGUACUCCAGUGUCAUGGCAUUCAAAAUGCCAACGUUCAGUUGCUAGGUCAUCCACAGAAGCAGAAUACCGAGCCGUCGCAGCUACCACGUCUGAACUUUUAUGGCUCAAGUCAUUGCUUCAAGAACUACAACCAUCUAUCACUUGCAGGCCAUUGAUUCUCUGUGACAAUAUUGGCGCAACUUACUUUUGUGCAAGUCCCAUUUUUCAUUCUAGAAUGAAGCAUCUUUCCCUUGACUACCACUUUGUUCGUGAGCAGGUCACCUCUGGUCACUUAGCCGUUCAACAUAUUUCGAGCAAAGAUCAGCUUGCUGAUCUAUUAACCAAGCCUCAGUCUAAGUCUAGGCUGCAACAUCUUUGGUCCAAGAUUGGUGUCUCUGAUGGGAGCACCAUCUUGCGGGGCCGUAUUGAGGAUAACUCUCAGCCAACUGAUUUAACCAAUUUUGUUACCUAACAGAAUUGGUUUUCUAUCCUUAGUUUAAAUUAAUUUUUUACAUUUAUCUCAUCAUCUCUUGAUGUAAAUCUGUACAUAUCUUGUUGUUACUCUUAUCUCCUUGUGCU
rnacentral:misc_RNA from 1 species